UCUGCAGGUUGAUAUUUAAGUCUUUUGUUAAACCUCCGGGCUCAACCCGGAAUCUGCAAAGGAAACUAUCUAUCUUGAGUAUGGUAGGGGUAAAGGGAAUUUCCAGUGGAGCGGUGAAAUGCGUAGAUAUUGGAAAGAACACCAACAGCGGAGGCACUUUACUGGGCCAGUACUGACACUCAGAGACGAAAGCUAGGGGAGCAAACA
rnacentral:rRNA from 1 species